rnacentral:lncRNA from 1 species
UCAUUUUUUUCACUCUUUCUGUACAGUUCCCUACGGCAAAGUUUUUACCCACACCUAGUGGGAUUGAAAGCUUGUCCCAGACCCUUUUAUUCAUGAAAAUGCCCGGGUGGGAAAGUGCACCAGAAGCUGACAACCCAUACUCAAUUUCUCAUUUUUAGCCAUUACGAGUGGUGGCAGCAGUGGCUUUACUGCCACCCCCCUACGGCAAAGUUCUUGACCGCAGGUGGUUAGAUUGAAUAGCUUUAUCCAUAUCUUCAACUCGUAUCAAUUCCAGGGUGGGAAAGUGCACCUGAAGACUUCACUGUCCAUCCAAAGUCUGAGGUACCUAUACAGUAAUGGGUAUGGGCUCAUUUUUUCACUCUUUCUGUACAGUUCCCUACGGCAAAGUUUUUACCCACACCUAGUGGGAUUGAAAGCUUGUCCCAGACCCUUUUAUUCAUGAAAAUGCCCGGGUGGGAAAGUGCACCAGAAGCUGACAAACCCAUACCAAUUUCUCAUUUUUGUCCAUUACGGGUGGUGGCAGCAGUCGCUUUACUGCCAUCCCCCUACGGCAAAGUUCUUGACCGCAGGUGGUUAGAUUGAAUAGCUUUUAUCCAUAUCUUCAACUCGUAUCAAUUCCAGGGUGGGAAAGUGCACCUGAAGACUUCACUGUCCAUCCAAAGUCUGAGGUACCUAUACAGUAAUGGGUAUGGGCUCAUUUUUCACUCUUUCUGUACAGUUCCCUACGGCAAAGUUUUUUACCCACACCUAGUGGGAUUGAAAGCUUGUCCCAGACCCUUUUAUUCAUGAAAAUGCCCGGGUGGGAAAGUGCACCAGAAGCUGACAACCCCAUACCAAUUUCUCAUUUUUGUCCAUUACGGGUGGUGGCAGCAGUGGCUUUACUGCCACCCCCUACGGCAAAGUUCUUGACCGCAGGUGGUUAGAUUGAUAGCUUUUAUCCAUAUCUUCAACUCGUAU